rnacentral:misc_RNA from 1 species
GCUAUGCACUCCGUAGCACGCGCUCAGCUUGUGUGCCAUGUUCCUUCACAGCCUUAAGCGGCUUGCGCACAAAGAUUUCGAUGCGUGGGGUUACCACAUUCAAUGGCCACAAAAUCAGAUCCUAUCUCCACUCACAGGAAAGGUCAACUUUGUCGUUGAGGACAUCAAGUUCGCCUAUAAUGCAUGGAGCCUUUUGCGACUCGCCAUGUUCUUUGGUGUAGAGCAUCCCAAAGUGUUGAGUGACAUGACAAAGACAACGCCGUCGAUGGACAUCAUGCUCUCUGGCAAUCGUCUGUUCUUUAUGCACUCCCGUGUCAAGGCUAAUCUGACCCGAUCGAAAGUGCGCAUUGCUCUCACGCCUAACCAUCCCCGUGCUUUCCCGGUUCAAGAGCUCGUCUGGAACACACAAUUUCGUUUCCGUGAUCACCAGUCAGCGGGCGUCGAGCUGGUACUGGGGAUGGAAAACGGACUGUCGCAGGAGGUCGCCGACGCCUGUAACCUCUGCACCUACAUUCCCCAGUACGGCUCUGUCGGCUCACUAUCCAUGCUCUCUGCGCUCGCUAUAGCGGCACACUCAACCUGGCGUGCUGCUGUGCGGGAAGAAGGCAACACCUCCGAUACUAGCCUCGCCCCUCACCGCGCUUUGCAUGGUCACAUGCCGCUAUCAAACAGUCCGGAUCGACAGCGAGACUCGCUUCCACACGAGAUGGACUUAUUGGCAUGCAGCAACGCGGCCAUCAAAGACUUACUCGAGGAGAGGCGGCGGUCCUACGAUCUUCAGGUGAGCGUGCUGAUAUACAACGAGCUUGGAGACCGCAACAUCGGUGCAGUUAUCAGGAACGCGAACGUCUUCAACUGCGAGUAUGUGGCUAUCGUUAAUCGAAGGCGGUUCAACAGACGCGGUGCACUCGGCACACACAAGGUUAUGAAUGUCCUUUUCUUUGAGACCGUUAACGACGAUGCGGCACGACAGCUUUUCGAGGGUUACGAAGUGUGGCUUCUGUAUCCAUACUACCCCAAUCUUGUCAUGUACGAAGCUGAGCGAAAAGGAGAUGCCUCCAACAGCUCAUCGACCUUUGUGCGGCACGAGGACCCCGUGCUACAGGCAUGGGGCGCUACCCAGCACGAGCUCACCAGCGAGCAUCCCCUUGUGGUUCGCUACCCUCACCUCUGUCAAAAAGCGGUGUUUCUAGAUGACGACCUAUCUCUCGCAUCUUGUGUGCAAGACGUGAAGCGCAGAAAACUCCGUGGAAUCCUGCUAGCAGUGCCUGAGGAGGGAUGCUCCCCUCACCCGUCUUUGUGCAAGCUCAGCCAUCGCGUUGUGCAUGUCAUAAGUCCAUCAUUCCUACCACAUCAGACUCAACGUGGGCUGAACCCAGCGCUUUCCACAGCAAUUGCGCUCGAGAGAUUGAGAUGCGCUGUUGACACCUUAUGUCUCACGUGAUGGCCGCACGGACCUCGUUCCAACUCUGUUUAACUCCAACCUGCAUUGCACAGCGCCAACACAGUCUGCCGGAAUGUCUUCUUCGACGGCCUCGCGGCACUCCAUCCUUAAC